GUGUGCGCUGGAAGCCGGAAAGUCGAAUAUCACUUCCCAUCCUGCAUCUGAUGUGCUUUGGGGUUGAGAAAGCCCUUAUGUGGUAAAAAAAAUGUCAGAAAAGUGGCAAAAGUCUUCAAGGGCCUGAAAAUGGCCGAGGCAGGAACUGAGAAGCUGGCAGUAGAUCCUGCUACUGCUGCAGGGGCGGCGGGCCCCCUGGGUGGGCCACGCGGAAGGGACAGCCGAGGCUCCGCGCCCACCCCACCCGCAAGGGGCCAAGCGCAGACUCAGGGGAGCCAGAGGGGCCGGACCCCUGAGCAAGGGCUAGGGAAGGAUCCCAAGCUUGGAUACUUGGGAAUGAAGAUGUGUUAUUUCACCCACCGACUCGUUCCACACGACCAAGGCCUGUGCCUGCCCUGAGGGCGAGUUGGUUGAGCCUUGUACAGACAACUCUCAGAGCGUGGGCCUGGGCCGAACCUUUCCCUGUGAGCAGCAGCAUCAGCGUCUAGAACGACGGCCCUCCCCGUCCACGGUGGAAGGUGCGGAGCUGCCGUGGUGUGCUGGCAGCCGUUCACAGAAGGGAGAUGGAGGGGCACAGGGCAGGUCCUCGCACGGAGUCAUCCAGGUCCAGGGACACCUUCCUCCCAGGAGUAUGUGUACAGUGAUCGCUUGCUGCCAUAACACAGUCACAGAUCUACAUGUGUUCUCUGACUCUCAGCUGGGGCUCCAUCAGGGCCUGCUCUGGGCUCACCUGUGUGACCACUGAGCUCAGCUUCCUCAUCUGAGAAGCAUCCGGACUGGCCUUCCCACCCCCGCAUUCCUAGGGCUUCCACACUCCUUUCUGGCCAUGAGUCAGUCCUCAGUGGAUGACCAGCGGCCUGGGGUGGCCCUCUGAUUCUCUCACCUGUACUCAGGGGGUUGAACCUCACUCUUCUCUGCCAAAACCAACCAAUGAAUAAAUAAACAAACAAGCAUAGAACUCCUAAAAA
rnacentral:antisense_RNA from 1 species